rnacentral:rRNA from 1 species
GGGGAAUAUUGGACAAUGGGGGCAACCCUGAUCCAGCCAUGCCGCGUGAGUGAUGAAGGCCUUAGGGUUGUAAAGCUCUUUCACCGGGGAAGAUAAUGACGGUACCCGGAGAAGAAGCCCCGGCUAACUUCGUGCCAGCAGCCGCGGUAAUACGAAGGGGGCUAGCGUUGUUCGGAAUUACUGGGCGUAAAGCGCACGUAGGCGGACAUUUAAGUCAGGGGUGAAAUCCCGGGGCUCAACCUCGGAACUGCCUUUGAUACUGGGUGUCUUGAGUAUGGAAGAGGUAAGUGGAAUUGCGAGUGUAGAGGUGAAAUUCGUAGAUAUUCGCAGGAACACCAGUGGCGAAGGCGGCUUACUGGUCCAUUACUGACGCUGAGGUGCGAAAGCGUGGGGAGCAAAC